rnacentral:rRNA from 1 species
GUGAGAAAUAUUGCGCAAUGGAGGCAACUCUGACGCAGCCAUGCCGCGUGCAGGAAGAAGGCGCUACGCGUUGUAAACUGCUUUUAACCGGGAAGAAACCCCAGGACGUGUCCUGGGUUGACGGUACCGGAGGAAUAAGCACCGGCUAACUUCGUGCCAGCAGCCGCGGUAAUACGAAGGGUGCAAGCGUUAUCCGGAUUCAUUGGGUUUAAAGGGUGCGUAGGCGGAGCGUUAAGUCAGUGGUGAAAUCCUGCAGCUUAACUGUAGACUUGCCAUUGAUACUGGCGCUCUUGAGUGCGCUUGAAGUGGGCGGAAUGUGCCGUGUAGCGGUGAAAUGCUUAGAUAUGGCACAGAACACCAAUUGCGAAGGCAGCUCACUAAGGCGAUACUGACGCUGAGGCACGAAAGCGUGGGGAGCAAACAGGAUUAGAAACCCCUGUAGUCC